rnacentral:sRNA from 1 species
ACUUUACACAUGGAGAAGCAGACGCAGAGAUGAUAGAAUCUUUCGCCCAAGGCCACAUCUGUAUUGGGACGGGGGCAGACUGGCACCCAAGUGCCCAUUCCUCCCUUCUGACCAGCCCCCACCCCUCCGGCUCUGGCGUCCAAAGGGCUAAGGGGAGGAGUGCCCUUGCCUUUGCCCGCCGCUCGCCCACUGCAACCCGCUUUCUCACCCUACCCCUACCCCGCCUUGAUCGCGGCUGGUGACAGUCACCCGCCUUCUCCCCUGCAGCCGCGCCGCGGAUCGUCAACAUUUCGGUGCUGCCCAGUGCGGCUCACGCCUUCCGCGCGCUCUGCACUGCCGAAGGGGAGCCGCCGCCCGCCCUCGCCUGGUCCGGCCCGGCCCUGGGCAACAGCUUGGCCGCCGUGCGGAGCCCGGGUGAGGGUCACGGCCACCUAGUGACCGCCGAACUGCCCGCACUGACCCAUGACGGCCGCUACACGUGUACGGCCGCCAACAGCCUGGGCCGCUCCGAGGCCAGCGUCUACCUGUUCCGCUUCCAUGGCGCCAGCGGGGCCUCGACGGUCGCCCUCCUGCUCGGCGCUCUCGGCCUCAAGGCGCUGCUGCUGCUCGGGGUCCUGGCCGCCCGCGCCGCCCGCCGCCGCCCAGAGCAUCUGGACACCCCGGACACCCCACCACGGUCCCAGGCCCAGGAGUCCAAUUAUGAAAAUUUGAGCCAGAUGAACCCCCGGAGCCAACCAGCCACCAUGUGCUCACCGUGAGGAGUCCCUCAGCCACCAACAUCCAUUUCAGCACUGUAAAGAAUAAAGGCCAGUGCGAGGCUUGGCUGGUACAGCCAGUCCUGGUUCUCGGGCACCUUGGCAGCCCCCAGAUGGGUGACUCCUCCCCCGCUCGAGGUCAAGACCCUGCUCAAGGAGGCUCAUCUGGCCUCCUAUGUGGACAACCAUUUCGGAGCUCCCUGAUAUUUUUGCCAGCAUUUCGUAAAUGUGCAUACGUCUCUGUGUGUGUGUGUGUGUGUGUGUGUGUGUGUGUGUGUGUGUGAGAGAGAGAGAGAGAGAGAGAGUACAUGCAUUAGCUUGAGCGUGAAACUUCCAGAAAUGUUCCCUUGCCCUUUCUUACCUAGAACACCUGCUAUAGUAAAGCAGAUAGGAAACUGUUUACAGGGACUGGAGGCCCAGUCUUGUCCUCCUCUGUCACCGACUUGCUGUGUGGACCUGGGACACUCUCUUCACUUCUCUGGGUCUCAAUUCAUUUACUGUUGAACACGGACAAUCAUAUUCUUCCCUCCUGGCUGGGAGGACUACAAAGAUGUGAGGAAAUAAUAGAUAUGAAGGGGCUUUGGAAAGUACAAAGCCAUCUUCUUGUGAGGGGCAUGACAGGACCCUCUUUGCAGAGUGACAUUUGGACGUGCAGUCAGUUCUCGGAGAAGUGUGGCCCCUGCAGCAGGGUCAUGGAGAACACAGAGUUCCAGAGAGCAAGCCUGGGGCAGGGGCUGUGCAAAUCUGUGGUCAGAGGAACAUCAAAUCCUGGAAACUUGGUGGCAGGGAGAGGCCUGGGGCCUUUACCCCAUGCCCCCUGGGAUCUCCACUGUGACUGUCCCACACCCUCUGCCCAACUCUUGCCCCAUCAGCUGCCCUGCAUUGCCUUGAGCUGGGACCCUUAGGAAAUGGAAACCAGGCUCCCCUCUCUCAAGGUAUCUGGGAACCACUGUCUCAGGAGCUGAAGCCGGGAGACCUGAGGGGAGGUCUGGCCAGAGAGUCCCUGUGUGUAAAGCAGCUACAGCUCUGACCUCUCUGACCUGCAACCUCUCAGGGUGUGCAAAGUCCAAAUGCACUGGCAACUUCACCCCCUUUGCCCUAACGCGGGCAGGCUGACUUGGAGGGGUGCUUCCCUAUUUACACCUCAGGGUGAAUUUGUUGAUCACCUUAGCUCCUGUGGUCCUUGAGGCUUAGGGAGAGGAGGGAGGCAUGCCUGGGUCCCAGGUGAGCUGGCAAGAGGAAAGGGCCACAGUCUAGGGGAAUAAUGAGGCCAUGAACAAGACAUCUCACCCCAGUUACAAUGGCUUUUAUCCAAAAGACAGGCAAUGACAAAUGCUGAUGAGAAAGUGGAGAAAGAGGAAUCCCCAUACACUAUUGGUGGGAAUGUAAAUUAGUAUAGCCACUAUGGAGAACAGUACAGAGUUUCCUCAAAAAACUAAAAAUAGGCCAGGCAUGGUGGCUCAUGCCUGUAAUCCCAGCACUCUGGGAGGCCGAGGCAGGCGGAUCACUUGAGGUCAGGAGUUCGAGACCAGCCUAGCCAACAUGGUAAAACUCUGUCUCUACUAAAAAUACAAAAAUUAGCUGGGCGUGCUGGCACGUGCCUAUAGUCCCAGCAACUUGGGAGGCUGAGGCAGAAGUAUUGCUUGAACCAGGAGGUGGAGGUUGCAGUGGGCUGAGAUCACCCCACUGUCCUCCAGCCUGGGCAACAGAUAGACUGUCUCCAAAGAAAAAAAAAGAAAUAGAACUACCAUAUGAUCCAGUAAUCCCACUGCUGGGUAUCUGUCAGCAAGGAAAUCAGUAUAUUGAAAAGAUACCAGUACUCCCAUGUUUACUGCAGCACUAUUUGCAAUAGCCAAGUAUGGAAUCAGCCCAAGUGUCCAUCCACGAAUGAAUGAAGAAAAUGAACACACAAUGAAAUAUUCAGCC